rnacentral:rRNA from 1 species
AUACGGAGGGUGCAAGCGUUACUCGGAAUCACUAGGCGUAAAGCGCGCGCAGGCGGUCUUUUAAGUUGGAUGUGAAAGCCUACGGCUCAACCGUAGAACUGCAUCCAAAACUAUUAGACUAGAGUGUGGGAGAGGAAGAUGGUAUUAGUUGUGUAGGGGUAAAAUCCGUAGAGAUAACUAGGAAUACCAAAAGCGAAGGCAAUCUUCUGGAACACUACUGACGCUGAGGCGCGAAAGCGUGGGGAGCAAACAGGAUUAGAUACCCCAGUAGUCC